AGUGAACGCUGGCGGCGUGCUUAACACAUGCAAGUCGAACGAGAACGGAUUAUAGCUUGCUAUAAUUGUCAGCUAAGUGGCGCACGGGUGAGUAAUGUAUAGGUAAUAUGCCUCUUACUAAGGGAUAACAAAUGGAAACGUUUGCUAAUACCUUAUACUCCUUAUUAACAUAAGUUAAUAAGGGAAAGAUUUAUUGGUAAGAGAUUAGCCUGUAUUGUAUCAGUUAGUUGGUGGGGUAAUGGCUUACCAAGACUAUGACACAUAACUGGUUUGAGAGGAUGAUCAGUCACACUUGAACUGAGACACGGUCCGGACUCCUACGGGAGGCAGCAGUGGGGAAUAUUGCACAAUGGACGAAAGUCUGAUGCAGCAACGCCGCGUGGAGGAUGACACAUUUCGGUGCGCAAACUCCUUUUAUAUGAGAAGAUAAUGACGGUAUUAUAUGAAUAAGCACCGGCUAACUCCGUGCCAGCAGCCGCCGUAA
rnacentral:rRNA from 1 species